rnacentral:tRNA from 1 species
AGCAGUGUGGGCUAGUGGAUAAGGCAUGGCCUGCAAAUCCAAAGGACCUGAGUUCUAAUCCCAGCUCUGCCA